AGAGUUUGAUCCUGGCUCAGAAUCAACGCUGGCGGCGUGCCUCAGACAUGCAAGUCGAACGCGAAAGCCCCCUUCGGGGGGCAAGUAGAGUGGCGCACGGGUGAGUAACACGUAGGUAAUCUACCUUUGGAUGGGGAAUAACCACCGGAAACGGUGGCUAAUACCGCAUAAUGCAGCGGCACCUAAUGGUGACAGUUGUUAAAGCGGGGGAUCGCAAGACCUCGCGUCUGAAGAGGAGCCUGCGGCAGAUUAGCUAGUUGGUAAGGUAACGGCUUACCAAGGCGAUGAUCUGUAGCCGGCCUGAGAGGGCGGUCGGCCACACUGACACUGACAUACGGGUCAGACUCCUACGGGAGGCAGCAGUCGGGAAUUUUGGGCAAUGGGCGAAAGCCUGACCCAGCAACGCCGCGUGAAGGAUGAAAUCCCUCGGGAUGUAAACUUCGCAAGAACGGGAAGAAUAAGUAAGGGUUAAUAUCUCUUACGAUGACGGUACUGUUUGUAAGCUCCGGCUAACUCCGUGCCAGCAGCCGCGGUAAUACGGGGGGAGCAAGCGUUGUUCGGAUUUACUGGGCGUAAAGGGCGCGUAGGCGGCCACCGCAAGUCGACUGUGAAAUCUCUGGGCUUAACCCAGAACGGUCAGCCGAUACUGCGGGGCUAGAGUGCAGAAGGGGCAACUGGAAUUCUCGGUGUAGCGGUGAAAUGCGUAGAUAUCGAGAGGAACACCUGCGGCGAAGGCGGUUCUCUGGGCAUUACCUGACGCUGAGGCGCGAAGGCGUGGGGAGCGAACGGGAUUAGAUACCCCGGUAGUCCACGCAGUAAACGAUGCCGACUAGGCGUGGGGGGAGUUGACCCCCUCCGUGCCGGAGCCAACGCGGGAAGUCGGCCGCCUGGGGAGUACGGCCGCAAGGCUAAAACUCAAAGGAAUUGACGG
rnacentral:rRNA from 1 species